GUGCAGCAGGCGCGAAACUUCCGCAAUGCGGGCAACCGCGACGGGGCUACCCCGAGUGCCGGGCGAAGAGCCCGGCUUUUGCCCGGUCUAAAAAGCCGGGAGAAUAAGCGGGGGGCAAGUCUGGUGUCAGCCGCCGCGGUAAUACCAGCUCCGCGAGUGGUCGGGGUGUUUACUGGGCUUAAAGCGCCCGUAGCCGGCCCGGCAAGUCGCUCCUGAAAUCCCCGGGCUCAACCCGGGGGCGGGGGGCGAUACUGCCGGGCUAGGGGGCGGGAGAGGCCGCCGGUACUCCGGGGGUAGGGGCGAAAUCCGUUAAUCCCCGGAGGACCACCAGUGGCGAAAGCGGGCGGCCAGAACGCGCCCGACGGUGAGGGGCGAAAGCCGGGGGAGCAAAGGGGAUUAGAUACCCCUGUAGUCCCGGCCGUAAACGAUGCGGGCUAGCUGUCGGCCGGGCUUAGGGCCCGGCCGGUGGCGAAGGGAAACCGUUAAGCCCGCCGCCUGGGGAGUACGGCCGCAAGGCUGAAACUUAAAGGAAUUGGCGGGGGGCAC
rnacentral:rRNA from 1 species